AAAAGGAGAAGAAAUCCAUACUAAAAACGUCUUCAAGCUCUUCAGCUCGUCAUCAAGCUCUUCAGCUCGUCUUCAAGCUCUUCAGCUCGUCAUCAAGCUCUUCAGCUCGUCAUCAAACUCUUCAGCUCGUCAUCAAACUCUUCAGCUCUUCAGCUCGUCAUCAAACUCUUCAGCUCGUCAUAAAGCUCUUCAGCUCGACAUCAAGCUCUUUAGCUCGUCAUCAAGCUCUUCAGCUCGUCUGCAAGCUAUUCAGCUCGUCUUCAAGCUCCUCAGCUCGUCAUCAAGCUCUUCAGCUCGUCUUCAAGCUCUUCAGCUCGCCUAACGAUCCAGAUCGUCAAUCUCAUCUCCCGGCUCGUCUAGCUUCUC
rnacentral:lncRNA from 1 species